rnacentral:lncRNA from 1 species
UUAUCAAUAUAUCUUGGCCCUCUUGUUUUUUCAUGCAUGUUGCCCCACAGAUCUUUAAGAGGAAACAGAACAUUUUCCUCUCCACGUGACAAAGUCUUUCAUCAAGAGAUCCAUUCGCUAGCAGGCGCUGUGAGACAGACAGACAUCACCUAUUCAUUUCUGUAGAAAGGCACAAGAUGUCCCACCAGACAGUUGGGAUGAUGCUAGUCUGUCUGCACAUGGCUGUCUCAGAAGAAGGGGUACAAAUCCUGCAAAGCCCAGCCCAGGUGUGGCUGACAUCUGGACAGACCGCACAGCUGGACUGUAGCCCUUCACGAAAAGUAUGGAGAGUUCAGUGGUACAAGGAACAUCUGAGUUUACAAUGGAUUUACGAGAGUUCUUCACUUCAACCUUCAAAUGGAAAAUACUCGAGUAAAGUGAACAUUCCAGCAAACACAUUUUCUCUGACUAUAAGUAACGUACAAAGAAAUGACUCCGGGGUGUAUUACUGUGGCCUUGCUAUAUAUGUACAUCCCAACUUCGGGAAUGGGACCAGGCUGAGUGUCACAGAUGCCUCCGAGCCGAGACUUUCCAUCCUGGUGCCCUCUGCCCCGGAGGAUGCUGAGUUUCUCCCCGUCAUUCCUCUGCUCUGCCUGCUCUCGGAUUUCACUCCUGCCUGGAGUGCUGUUCUCUGGGACACUGGUGAGCAGGUGUCUGAGGGUCAGAUAGAUGCUGGAGCCAUAGACAGGAAUGGGAUCUUUAGUGUUUGGAGCCUAAUGACAAUCCCUUCUGAGACGUGGAAGCAGGAGAUGAUCUGCACUUGUACAGCCAAGGAGAACAGCACGGGGAGAAGCAUCAAUGCUACAGUCUCCAGGGAAACAGGUCCAGUAUCGUAUCAUCCAAUCUAACCUGCCUACCUGGGUAUUUAUGCCUC